rnacentral:rRNA from 1 species
GGAGGAUCCAAGCGUUAUCCGGAAUCAUUGGGUUUAAAGGGUCCGUAGGCGGUUUAGUAAGUCAGUGGUGAAAGCCCAUCGCUCAACGGUGGAACGGCCAUUGAUACUGCUAGACUUGAAUUAUUAGGAAGUAACUAGAAUAUGUAGUGUAGCGGUGAAAUGCUUAGAGAUUACAUGGAAUACCAAUUGCGAAGGCAGGUUACUACUAAUGGAUUGACGCUGAUGGACGAAAGCGUGGGUAGCGAACAGGAUUAGAUACCCUGGUAGUCCACGCCGUAAACGAUGGAUACUAGCUGUUGGGAGCGAUCUCAGUGGCUAAGCGAAAGUGAUAAGUAUCCCACCUGGGGAGUACGUUYGCAAG